CGUUACCUUCACAAUGUUUUGUUGUUGUUGUGAUACGUAUUGUUUGUUUCUGUUUUAUGAAGUGUCUGAUCCUUUAACGUAGAGGAUAAAACAACUUAUUAACUCUCUACCUACACUGGACCGUUACAUUGUGUUACAUGAUCAUGUGUUAUUAUGGUGAUGCGUUAUAUGCUAUCAUUGUGUAUUUUAUCGAAUGAUCUUUCAACGUAGUGAAAGAAACACCCUGUUUUAUAUGAUAUAUACACUUUUUAUACGAUAUAUACACUAAACUCUGUGUAUAUACACAAAGUUUACAUUAAUCCCUAUUUUAUGGAUUAGUGUUCUUAAAUGGUGGCAAACAGAUUAUAUGCUGUCUUAAUGACUCUCUGAGCUGGCGCCAAGCAUAAAGGUCAAUUAUCCAACCAAUAUAAACCCUCCACCAUUCUGGGACAAUUAUAUUCUGUUCUGUGGUCUUCCCAUGUUAUGUUGGCUUGUGUUGUGCUACUUGUGUUUAUUUUAUCUAGUGACUGAUGAAUUUAAAACAGUAGAGCAAACAAACUACCAUUCCUCUACCCUCUGGGACAGCUACCUUCUCUUCUACGGUCCUCAGUAAAGAAACUGGAGAAUGCAUCUUCUGUUCGGCUUGAAACUUUCAACACAGGUGUGCCCUACUAAACGAAGUAUUCAUGAGUAUAACUUCUUAAAUAGGUCUCUACGCAGUCUUCAAGAAUACAAAAACAGGGUUACCGGUAGCGCCAGGCUGCCGAUACAUAGCGUAGAGGUGAGGCGCAACUGAUGGACAACAUCCUUCACACCCUUACGCUCCUGCUAACUCUUUAAUUAU